UCCUUCCUUUUGAUCCCCAUA
ensembl:piRNA 21ur-3257 ncRNA